GAAGCUUCCCUCGCACAAACCGCCCCCGGAACUGCGCCGAGUCCGUCGGGAGGCGGAGGCGAGAGGGGGGGGUCGGUCUCCCUGGCGGCAGGCCCCACCCCAGUGCACCGGCGGCUUCGGCCUCUAGUUGUUCUGGUGAAGGCGCUUCCCCAUCCCAAUGAUAAAUAUGCUCCCGUUUCUCAUGACAAAUGCAGAUCUUCCUAGACAAAGUAGUUUUAAAACGUCACUGCUGAUAAAUGAGGGGUUUUUGAAGCCUUGUCCGUUUUCUAUGUGUUUGCAUGUGAGAUGGCAUGAUGGGUUUCUGAUUCAUGGCUGGAGCCCUCAGUGCUCCUGCAGUAUCACCGGAACUGCAACAUGCAGUUGGAUCUGGGCUGAGGUUCCUUGCUUGUUUCCUGGUUUAAAGUGUCAUAGUCACCCAGAAGGCAGGAGCAUACUCCCUGUGCAACUGCCUCCUGUACUUUCUCGUGGUUCCAAGGCUGUUUGUGUUGGUCAGAAUCUAGGAAACCUAUAGGGGAUUAAGUUAGAUGUGGUGUCAGUGUCUUAGCUCUCAAAUGUGUAAGACAUACACGAUAAUGCUCCUUUCUCUAACAUUCUUCAGGAGUCUAAUUAUUUUAAAGGACAGGAGUUGGAAAGCUAUGAGGUCAUGGGAAGAAAGCACUACCUUAUGCUGAAAGUAAUUGUCUAAUGAGAAGUGAGCAGAGGCGUUAAGCCACCGGUAUGUUCCUCAGAAGAGAGCAGUGGAGUGAGAAAAAAGCACGCUCUCCUCAGCUGUCACUUUUGUUCAAGAAAACAAAGUCCUUAUUUCAGAAAGACAAGAAACAUCCUGUUCAGAGUGUUACAACAGAAGGAUGUAAAAGCUUUAAAUUGUCUUCAUGACCCUGCCAGCUUCUGGCUGUGAAGGCAACCAGUAUUCUUCCUUCCGGAAGAUCCAAGGAAAGAAGAGCAGAGUAACAUAACCUUUAGGAAGAUUCUUUUCUUCAGCACAUUGUAUGCAGAGCACAAGAGGACAUCUGGACCUCUACUGCAGUGAUAACUGAGUGAUGGGGAACUUACAGAAUUCUGAAGCAAGCAAUCUGUUACCUGCUACAUACAAUUCAGCACUUAUGCUUAAACAAAGGGAAGCAAACUACUCUGUGAAGUUCUUCUGCUUGAGUGAGGAGGCAGGAGCACAAGGGGAUAUCUUUUUCAUUCAGCCAUUUCCUGCUUUCUUCCUUGGAAAGAGGUGCUGGUCUCCAUGCACGCUUUGCUUUUCCAUGAAGCAGAAUAAAUGAAGUGUGUGUAAUCACAAAGACAAAAUACAAGUGACCCAAAUUUACAGAUAACAUGAAGGGAGGCCGGGGGAGAAACCACAAGUGAACAUAUUCAGAAGUAACUGGAGAAACACAGAUCUUUUGAAUAGCUCUGGUACACGGUCACCUCAAAGCUACCAAAAUUCAGCAUUAGAACCAAUGCCUGCAACACUGCCAGAAUAAGCCAAGAAAGAAGAGAUUUUUCUUUUUUUCAGAAGCCACAUAUAACCCCUGUCAUACAUGAUGUGGAUGAAUCUGGAGCUAAGAUCACCUUGCCACGUCCUGAAGGAAAGUAAUGCAAGUUGCAGUUACAGCAUCUAAGAGAGGGAGGAGUCUGGCCCUUUUCUACCUCCACCACGGACUUCCAGGCUGAUCUGGUGUUCCUCUUCUGGGGAUGGAGACUGAAGGUUUUUUUUCUGGACUCUUCAAGCAAAGCUCAAGCAAAAUAGUCACUUUGAUCUUCUGAGACACACUGAAGGCUGCUGGACAGCAAAUGCGCUCUUGUGUAGUACCAGUGUCCUACUUCCAGGUGCUACAGAUGACAACUUUUCCUGCCUACAGUUCGAGGUGUAAUUUAUGUAGCACUAACCCCAGGACUGAACUGCUAAAGAGCCAGAACAGGAAGCUUGUCUGAUCAUCCUCCAAAUGUUGCAGAUUUUGGGAAUGCCUUGAUCAAGGACACUGGCAUCUGAACUCUCAGUGUAGCCUGGCUGAGGCUUUGUGGCAGAAGGAUGCAGGUACACUGAGACAGUCAUCUCAGCCCAACAAACAACAACGUGUUUGGGCUUCUGAGUUUACUUCGUGGUUCUUUCUGUUCCAACAAGCUGAGUAGCCCUUUGGUUCUUUUCUGGGACUUGUGGGAAUACGUGACAUUAUUCCUGUCUGCAACAACAGCUGUGGGAAUGUAAACAGAGUUUAUCUCCUGACGAUGAAGCAAAUUGCUCAAGGGCAGGAGUGGGAGAGGCUCCGCUUCUCUUUUCUGGGCCUUCCUUCCUGAGACACUGGUACAAAUACAUCCUUUCAGCUUUGGUGUGGACAGCAGGAUGCAUGACACAUCUUUUGACACGUUUCAUUAUCAGAAAUUUCCCUGUUCAUUUUUUUGGUGUUUAUAUAAGAAGAUGUGCAUGGAAGUGGAUGUAUAAAACCCACAAGAAAGCUCAUGAAUCCAAAAACUACACAGCAUCAACAUAUGUCUUAAUUUGUGAAACGUCACAAGGCAGCACUGCAAACUGAAGCCCUUUCUCAGCGGGAUGUGUUCAGCCAAGGCAACACACACAAAAGCAGAUUCCUCACUGGCUUGCUCUGUCUUAGAGAGCUUUAAUGUCUUUCAAGCUGAUUCUGUAGAGGCAUCCACGAAGUUGAGAUAUUCCAGAUCAGCCAAUCACUGAGUACUUUAUGAAGACCAUGCCUCAACAUUAAGCAGUAUACGGUGUUUGGUUUUUGAUGCAAAACAUACCCAUCUGGGGCUAAGGUGCCUUGAACAUGACCUGGAAAGAUGGAGGACUGUGACUUGGAGAGGGAGUAGUUGCAUUUAUGUCCCAUGAUUUAUCAAUUUUAACUAUUCAAGAAACAAUUUCCAUGGAAAUUAUAGGAAGUAUUAUUUUUGGAGCAACUGACAUAUUUUAUGGAGUUCAUGGGAGGAAAAAGAAAGGAAGUUUGGGCAGACAGAAGUGACAUCUUACACCGGCUUGGCUGCACAGGUGUGCUCCCUCCCAGCAGCCGUCACUGCGGACCAAUCUGUUGUGAAGGCCUCCACCUGGUGGCUGAUCGUGCCCAGCGUGCCGCUUCUUGAACUGGUAUGGACUUCAGCAGCCUGUUAUUAAAAGCCUUCAGAAGCCAAACGGCACAUUUUACAACUGCCUUCUAACUUAGCAAAGUUAACCUUUCGUUAGUCUUGAAAAACAGACAGAUAUGUUAAAGACGGUCAGCUUCUGGGCUGUGCUGUGACUCAGCCCCAGUAUUCGCCCAAGUGACAAAAUAUGGGACCUCACGUAAUGAGAUAAGAUGUGCUGAAGCUACACACCAUUCUGAGCAUCAAAACCAAACGUUCAGGUGGUGCUGCAGUGCAGCAGCCAAUUAGUUUCACAUCCACUGAUUACCCUAAAGCAGCAGAGUGUAAGUGCGAUUCUAUGAGAUCUGCAAGCCCUUAUCUCUAGGAUGACAUGCAAGAAGAAAAGAUCCAGCCUAAAUUCGAGCUUCUAAUUAGGCAGGCCGUGUGUAAGUGUAUUUUGGACCCAGUGAGAGGCAACACAAGCUGUUUAUAAAGUUAUCGAGGAACUCACCUUUCAGAGUGGAUCCUGAGUGGGAAAUUACACGUAAAAGGAGACCCCUUCUAUGCAGAAACUGGCACUGACAGAGCUAACCCUAUUUCAAAUUAAUCCCAUUCAAGGUUGUCUCUGGUUGCUUCUGGUGGGUGCUGCCACUUGGAUUCACACUGCAAAGAGUUAUUUCGAGAUGGUGUGUUUGGAGCUGUGCGCGGAGAAUACUGUAUCCAGGCAGCCUGCUGUUUGUGUCCAGGUUUGCUGUCACGUGCCUGUUCUUUGGAGAUUCAGUUAUGGCUGAAUGGCAAGCUGUGCCACUGUAGAGUCGGUAGGUCAUCCAUCCUAGGAAGAUAAUAAAAAUACCCACCAUACACCAUGAAGGAACCUCCUUUUGAUCUUGUCUGACUACAUAGGACACUUAAUGUGAGUAGGAUUUAGAAGCCAUUUUUACAACACUUGGAUUUUUAUUUACCACAAAAUGCUCAUGUUGGAUGCUGUAAAAAAUGAAAGUUUUAGAUAGACCUAACCUUUUAUCUCCAUUUAUGCAUCAUAUGGAAUACCUUAUUUGUACUGAUAAGUUUUUGUUCAAGAUCACCUUGUGUUGGGAAAUUUUUUGCUCUGAUAGGCUUUGCUCAACUAAUCUUUAUCCCAAAAUGAGACAGAGCAUGUGUAAUUAACUCCAACUUAAUGCUGCCCAGGGAGGAGAAGUUAAUAUUAAUUAGCCUAUUAGGCCUGCACAGUAAGUCCUAAGUUCAUUUCAUAUCAGCCUUUCUCUGGUACCAAAUGAUGCACUGCAACGUUGGUGCGUGUUGCACACCUGAAAUCAGAAAAAAAAUCCCUCAGUUACUCUUUAAUGGGCAGGGCAGGGCUGUUUUUAAGCACUGGAUUGCCAAAGUAUUCAGUGUGCAACUGACUGGAAACUCAGCUGAACUUCUUGCUGAAAAAUGUCACUGUGAUAUUCCUAGAGUUGUGUCUUGAGACUCCAAAUGCCAAAUAUACACAUCUCUCUGUGACUCAGUUCUAUGUCUUGGUUCUAUAGGAGAUUAAAAUGGAGAGUGUAAUAUGUAAGAUCAAGAAAAGUCAUAAGUGUAACUAAGGCUCUAGACACCUUCACAAAACACAUACAACUCUAUGACUUGGAGCAAUCUUCUCAGUGGUUUAAGCAAAAUGGUGGCCACCUCAGGUGAUGGAGAGGGCAUCCUGAGAGCAUGACUGAGUCUUUGCAUCCUCUCCCACAUGGAUUGGCCUGACCCUCUGGAGCAGCUGUACAUUGUCCCAGAUUUGCAGCUGAUGAAGGAGAGACAAGAAGAGCACCUGCAGAGCACUCAGCCUCCUCUUUUAGGCAGAACCUGUGUUUUCAUUCUCACCUUCUCUUUCUCUCUCCCUCCCAAUAAAAUAUGAACUGAUCGUCAGUACUGGGCUGUACACAGCUGCACUGAAUGGUUGUGUUUGAUCAUGGAAGUUAGUAUUCUGCUGAGAACACGUAGUUCUGAGGGCAAAAGCUGGUAUUCUGCUGAGAUGUACUAAUUCUAGUGUCCCACUUUCAUAAAGUCUUUGAAUAUGUGCUGAAGAGAGCUUUGCUAAAAAACAACCAAUUUUGGUCUUUGGGAAGUUCCCCACGUACCCUGGUCACAUAGGUAUUUUGCCCUCUACAAGACUAGACUUUAACUAGUCUUAGCUGCACUGAAGCAAUCAGAUUCUCUUUUGCUGUGUAUAUGUAUGCGUGACCUUCACCAUUCUACCUAAUUUUGUUUAAGUUCUAACAAAUAUUUUAAUCUUCACCCCAUUUAUAGUGUUACUUUAAAAAAUCUUCAGUAGUAAAAACAGCACAUGAAAAGGUGAAGUAUCUUUGAAGAACACCAGCUGAACUUCAAGCAGAAGUGGUGUAGUUAUACCGGAAGACAGACUAAGGAACACCAAUAGCAGGGUAAAUUUUUGCCUCUCUUUGGUCAGCAUCCUUCCCUGAGUCUUCAGCUGGAGCUCCUUCAUAAAGAGCACACAGGCAACCAAAAACAACUCCUACAAUAUUUCUACCAUCUUGAAGGACUGAAAGAACCCUCCAGAAAGGCAGAGGAGCUCUGAUCACAAAACAAAUCACAAUCUCUGUCACUGCCAUCAGUGAUAUUAAGCAGGAAUAAAUUUUGUCUCAGCAUUCAAGAAAGAUAACUGAAAAAUCCACUGCAUGGAAUUUACUGUGUGAAGUUUUUACAGCAUGAAGAUCUUAAUUUUUACAACAGUUCAGGAAGACUCGGCAAAUAGAAUAUGUGUUUUACAGACAGCUGAAAUGUGUCACAAGCAGCAAUUAAACCAUUUCCCCUAGACUAAAAAAAAAAACAAAAAAACCAACCAACUACAGAGCAAGUUUUCUUAAGAGUGAAAUGUUUUCUCUAACUGAUAAAUUCUAUUUAAUUUAGACAAAAUAUAGCUGACAAACAAGUAAAGGAUGUUUUCCCUUAAUUUCUGCUUGUUUUCAAGUCCUAGAGAGAAGAGAGUCCAUGUUUUACUGACAGGAUUCUAAAACCCAUGAAAAUGAUCACAUUUGUCAGUGGGCACAGAGGCUGGAAUAAGCUGCACAGGGCUUUUAAAAAAAUUAUUAUGUAUGGCAAUAUAUAUGACAUCCUCACCAUUGGAUUCAGAAUACCUCAUGAUGGAGAUUAAUACAUAAUUACGUGCCGUGAAGAAAUUUAGCUGAUUAUUGUUGAGUAGAUUAAAGCAGUCAUAUACUGAGUCUCAGUUUAUUCUGGGCUUCAGUCACACUGCCUGUAUGAAAAGCAGCUGAUCCAAAGGUGGCUGGGAAUGGAAGGGAAGAGACCUGUUAAUCUCAGGGAGCUUCAGUUCAGGCCGGCAGAGAGUUACUGUUUAUAUUUAGUGGCUUAUUUCUGGCUCCCGUCUGCACAGACAGCUUUUCUCUUUUAGAUUCUUCAGCUCAGGAACCUGAGGGCAGUGGUUAACUCUUACUUGAGGAGAUAGUGAGAAUGGAGUAUCUCAGUAGGAGUUUGUCUUGCUAAGCACAGCCAUGAUGCUUUUUGUAUGGGAACUCAGAUCAUUUCCUUGUGUGCAGGCCAGCAGCUGUCAUUACAGAACAAUUAAUUCUCCUAGCCCAGCUGAUAUUAGUGAUUGCAGAUGUAAAGUUAUAAAGAGCUGCUGGGGUUCUUCAGAAGGAGCUUGUCAUCAUGUUUCACAAAGUAAGGAGAAUAUGCAGUGAACUCUCUGGACCAGAGACAAACCACAAGCAAUAACCAAAGCAUAACUUGAUACUCUGCCAAACAUGGGGAGAGUGGGCUUGCAUGUCUCACUUGCCAUUGUGGCAAUGCCUCACUCCAAAUUUCUCUCUAGCACGUUCAUCUUCAUAGCAGAAAUUUGGCCUGUGACCUGGCACUGGCAAAUUUCACUUUAGUCUGAGAGCCUGAACCAGUGACAGCACUGCCAUGCUCUGAUUGUGUGUGGGGAGCCUGGUGACCACAACAAAGUGCCUGCCGCACUGCUGCUCCACGGCUGUUUGCUGUGCUGCAUUUACAGCAUCCCAGUACUUCAGGGGGCCCCAGUUCAUGCCCGUGAAGUUGCCAGUGGUGUUAGUGUGCUUUCUAUAAGGUAACUCUGAAGGGCCCGCAGUGUCCAACUAGCAGCCUGGCUGCAGCUGUGGGUAUCAGUGCAUAUGAUUCCAUUGCCUUCAGGCUCAGCUUGAAACCUUCUCAAGCUUGAAACCCUGUCAAUGUAAAUGAGUUUAUAACUUCUCAGGUAAAUUCUGUUAGUAGGGAGGUGUUACAUGGACAGAGCUUUCUGAGUGCACUGGGGCUGCAAAGAGUGUGGAGGGCUGAGGAGGUGGAGGAAAGGGCAGUAAUGGUCACUCCUGGCAGCCUACAAAGUGCAUCUCCUGGCCGUGUGCCUGAGAUGGAACCCGAGUACUUUGCCAGCCAAGCAGCCCUCAUUCAGUGGGAAGUGGAUGACACCCGCUGGGUUAGGCUUUACCUAGGAGAUACCUUCUUGUUCCUCCCUGAAUUCUUGCCAUACGCUCUUCAGGGCACUGCCAGACCCACAGCAGGACAGAUGCUUUCGUCCUUAGCUCUGCAGUGGCAAAAAAGAAAGAAAAAACAAAACAACAACAAACCUAAUCUUUAUCAUGCCAAUGGGCUUUACAGCUUUACAUAUCUAGUCACUGAAAACACUACAUGAAACCAUGCUUUCUCUUACUUGUUCAAAGAGUUGUGUUUUGUGAAAAAAAACAACUAAAAACAAACAUUAAAAAGUUACAUAUAGGUGAAAAAGUUUUGUUUUGUUUUUAGUGGAGUAGGACAGUUAAGUGACAAAUAAUAAAGUUUCAUCUUUAAUACAUUAUUGAUUAUGAGUGUUAAACCAGAUUCCCAUAUAUUUUUUGUUUGAAUCUGUUAUCCAUAAUUAAUAUUUAUUUCAACUAAAUAAAGCAGAUUUGAUUAGCUAGCUAGAAAAAAACAGGAUGGGUUUUUUAGUUUGUUCAACUUUUGUUGGAACAGUUGCUUUAAAAGACUCUUGCAAGCUGAGAUAGUGUGGAUUUAAGGACAGGUGUGUGUGUGUACAUUGUAGCACCCCAGUAAGGGUGUUUUCUGGUAUCUGCAGUGCCUGAACAAUGGAGAGUGAAGUGCUGCUGUCAGAACUUAUCACACAAGUUGGAAGGGACCCACAAGGGUCAUCAAGUCUACAGAGGACCGCCCCAAAUUCAAACCCUAUGUCUGAGAGCAGUAUGUCCAAAUGCUUCAGCAGCUUAGGGCUGUGCCUAGUGCCCACUGCCUGGGAAUGGGAGCCUGUUCCAUGCACACCACCUUCUGGUGCAGAACCUUUUCUUCAUACUCACCUGAUCUUCCCCUGACAGCUUUUUGCCAUACCCUUGAGCUCUGUAGUAAUCACCAGAGAGCACAGUUCAGUGCUCCACUCCCACAGAGGGAGCUGUAGGCUACCAUCAGGCCUCCCCCCCUCAGCCUUCUGUUCUCCAGGCUGAACAAACCAAGUGAAUACAGUGCUACUUGCGAAGAGAGUACAAUCCCUGGAUACUUUCAGUAACCAUACUCCAUGCUAAGUCUAUGCUUUGCUUGAAAACCUCCAGGGAUAAUGCCUCCACCACUUUCCUGUGCAGCCUAUUCCUGUGCCUGACCACUCUUUCUGAGACUGAGGUUUUCCAAAUCUACAGCAUGAAUCUCCCCUGCACAACUUGAAGCCAUUACCUCUUGUCCUAUCACUAGUUAUUUGGGAGAACAGACCAACUACCACCUCACCACAACCUCCUUUCAGUGCCUGAACAAGCAAAAAUCUGUGUGGCAGGACACAGUUGUCAUCAGAGGGACUGGAGGACCUGGCCAGUGCUCUGCACAGAACUUCUUUUCAUGUCUGCUCAGGAAAGCAUAGACUAGGGCAGUGAGUGCUCUUGGAAACACCAGAGCAGUUUUGGUUGAGCAACAACAAAAUUAGGCUCAAAGCAGACAAUUUUAAUGGAAAAUUUUGGACUGGACCAUUAGUGUAACAAAGCCAUGGAGACCUGAAAACAGGAUUUUGAUGGAAACUGCCAAGUAAUUUGAUGAUAAAUAAUGAAUUAGCUCAGCUAUUUUUGUGUAAUAACUAUAUUUUAUAAGGGGAAGUCUUUUUUAACCUCUUGUCUAUGGAAGUCUUCUUAUUACAAGAGCUUGGGCCCAUUCUUAUUUAACUCAUCUCUAACCCUCUGACCACAAGGACAGAGGUACUAUGAAGUACACUCUGAAUACUCAGCGUAUCUCCAUUACACCAACAAAGUGUGACUGUGGGGAAUGCAGUCCCUGUUGGCAGUAAAUCUAGCUCUCCAGCCACUCAGAGGAUCUGGGAAGUUAGACUUGGUAACUAUUGGUGAGGUGCCAACUUACAGUCUGGAAGGAUUUUAAAGGAUGCAUCAGUAUUUAUGGAUUUAAAUGUGAAAACAGAAAUUGCAGACUAAAAAAAAUGAUGAACUUAUUAACUGAGUGAACUUGGUUUCUUCAAGUGCCAGGAAAACACACUUCACAUGCUUGACUUAGUGCUGUCUUGGUGAAACAAUUUAAAGCAGGAUAUUUAAUAAUGUGAGAAAUACUUAAAUCAGCCAAGUCUAUACAAAAAUAAAAUAAAUUGAGAUCAGAACUGUGAGCUAAUUCUUGUAACACUGUCAUGGGGAUGAAGAUAGGUAGUGGGAGAAAUGCCAUGUAGCUUUCAUCAUAGGCUUAGCUUGUACAGACAAAUGCAGGGGACUUGGACUUGCAUUUGUUUCUAAACAAAAUAAAUUAUUGAGUGGCUUAAAUGGAGCAAAGCAUAUAACUCUGGAGAACUAAACAUAUAUUUUCAUAUUUUUGUCUUUGUUAAGCAAAUGGCAUGAAAUCCCAAACUGAUUUAUUAAGGGAAUAUUUCUGUUUUCUCAUUUACGAUUGAGGAAGAUGAGAUCUCUUUCAGAACAUCUUUGUUAGAAUACACCCACAGGGCAGCUCUGUGCAUUGGGAGGUCUUUCUGCUGUGAUUUGUCAAUAGGAUGCUGUACCCUAAUUAGCUUCUCCCAAGAAAUUAAGAAUAGAAGAUAUCAUUCCAAGGCAUGAAAUGCAGUAUUUAAGCUAAUGGGAUGCAAAUCUGCAAACUGCAUCCCAUAGGACAGCUCCUGGAGUGAGAGGAAUGGGAUGCUUGAUGAUGUCACCUGCGAUGUUGUGACUCCAAAACAAGCUGUAGGCCGCAGACUGAAGUGGCAGUGCAGCUGCCCUUUGUAGCAGACAAUGACGAUACUUAUUUUGGUUGUAAGCCAGGAAAUAUUGAUACUUGCCAUCAAGAUCAGAGACUGCAGAGCUAUAUUGCUAGACUAAUUCUGUUAGAAGUGCAUAAAAUAUCUGAUCUAAUGUAUAUGAGUUGCUUACAAUAUUAAGAUAAUUGAGAAUAGUUCUUCAAACUGAAAGCUGCUAUUUGCAUGAUAUAGGCUAUAAUGUAAUGGAAGUUUUGUAGAUUCUCAGAGUUUCAAAGUCCAUGGCAAAUAAUUUAAAAGUAUUAAGUCAAGUGUGCUGAACCCAUGGUCCAGGGGCCACAUGCAGCUCAGCCCUGCCCAUCCUGCAGCCCACUGCCCUGUGCCAUCAUGGCGGCAGCUCUUCCCACUGAGCAGCCCGGCCUAGCCCCAGAUGUGCACCCAUUGCUCAGCAACGACCAAAUAUCAGUGUGCAAUCAGCACAGUGUCAGCUGAAACCAGGGCUUGGGGAGGGCACAGUGCAGUGCUAUCUCAAAUUGUGGCAAAUAAUUGUGUGCAUUUUGAUACAUUGGCUAAGCACAGUCCUGCGAAUAGUGAAAAAUAUACAGCCUUGCUUUCCAUUGUGAUAAAGGAAUUUGAGAACAAGUUUCAAGACUGCCGAAAGUAAUCCUGUUUUUGGUAUAUUUGUGACUCCAUUUUCAGUCAACAUAACUGCAUUACCUGUGAAUUUUCAAAUGGAAUGUAUAGAGUUGCAAUCAGAUAUUCAAGUCAAAAAUUUGAUCACAUCUCUUUCCUAGUCUUUUGUAAGACCUGUCUUACCAGAGAAAAAUAUCCCUCAAAUAUCCUUUGCUUCGCAAUCACACCCUUUUCAUGUCAUUGUUU